rnacentral:miRNA from 1 species
GGUAAUCUGCAUCCCAAGGAC